rnacentral:rRNA from 1 species
UACGUAGGGUGCAAGCGUUGUCCGGAAUUACUGGGCGUAAAGGGCGCGUAGGCGGGCUGGCAAGUCGGUCGUGAAAUCCCUCGGCUCAACUGAGGAUCGUCGAUCGAUACUGCCGUUCUUGAGGAUUGCAGAGGAGACUGGAAUUCCCGGUGUAGCGGUGAAAUGUGUAGAGAUCGGGAGGAACACCGGUGGCGAAGGCGGGUCUCUGGGCAAUUCCUGACGCUGAGGCGCGAAAGCGUGGGGAGCAAACGGG